AAGUGAUUUGGUUUUGGUUAAUAUAUAGGUUACAAUUAGAUUAUACAUGUUAGGUUUAUAUUAUAAAUCGUUUUAUUUAAAAUAGUUCUAUGUUAGAAUGUUUAAUAUAUUUUGAGUAAGGGCUUUAUAUUAAUAUUUUAUUAAUAUAUAGGUGUAUAAAUUACGCAGUAUUUAUAUUUAUAUAAUGGAUGAAGGUUUGAUAUAGUUAAUGUAAUUAAAAGUGGUUAAAUUGGUGCCAGCAUCUGCGGUUAUACUAAUACUUUAAAUCUAUAUUAUGUAGUAUAAAAUAAAGUAAUAGGUUGAUUAUAGAAGAGUUGAUGAGAAUAGUAUAUUGUAAGUAAAAUUUAAUUAUUAUUAUUGAUUUGAUUACUCUUAGGGUUAUUCUUUGAAGGUAAGAAAGAAAACUAGGAUUAGAUACCCUACUAUUCUUUAUGUUAAAAUUUUGAUUACUAAAGCAGUAUAAAUAAAAUACUUGAAGUAUUAUAUGUUUGAAACUUAAAAGACUUGGCGGUGUCGUAAAUCCAUCCAGGGGAGCUUGUUAAUUAAUUUGAUAAUCCUCAAUAUAUACUUACUUUUUUUUGAAAUGUAAUCAGUAUGUAUAUUGCUGUCGUCAGUUUAUUUUGUAAAAUUAGAGACAUAAUAAUAAUAAUUGUGAUGUCAAGUCAAAAUGCAGCUUAUAGAAAAGGUUAUAAUGAGCUACAAUUUAUAAUUAUUAAAUAUGGAUUGAAUUAUGUAAUUAGUUUAUGAAGGUGGACUUGGUAGUAAUAAUAAAUUAAUAUGUUAUUAUGAAUUAGGCUUUAUGAUGCGUACAUAUCGCCCGUCGCUCUUGUUGGAAAAUAAGAUAAGUCGUAACAUAGUAGGGGUAGUGGAAACUGUCCCUGGUUUAAA
rnacentral:ncRNA from 1 species